AUUGAACGCUGGCGGCAUGCCUUACACAUGCAAGUCGAACGGCAGCGCGGACUUCGGUCUGGCGGCGAGUGGCGAACGGGUGAGUAAUACAUCGGAACGUACCCUGUUGUGGGGGAUAACUAGUCGAAAGAUUAGCUAAUACCGCAUACGACCUGAGGGUGAAAGUGGGGGACCGCAAGGCCUCACGCAGCAGGAGCGGCCGAUGUCUGAUUAGCUAGUUGGUGGGGUAAAGGCCCACCAAGGCGACGAUCAGUAGCUAGUCUGAGGGGACGAUCAGCCACACUGGGACUUAGACACGGCCCAGACUCCUACGGGAGGCAGCAGUGGGGAAUUUUGGACAAUGGGGGCAACCCUGAUCCAGCAAUGCCGCGUGUGUGAAGAAGGCCUUCGGGUUGUAAAGCACUUUUGUCCGGAAAGAAAUCGCGCUGGUUAAUACCUGGCGUGGAUGACGGUACCGGAAGAAUAAGCACCGGCUAACUACGUG
rnacentral:rRNA from 1 species